UACGUAGGGUCCAAGCGUUAAUCGGAAUUACUGGGCGUAAAGCGUGCGCAGGCGGUUCGUUAAGUCAGCUGUGAAAGCCCCGGGCUCAACCUGGGAAUUGCGGUUGAAACUGGCGAACUAGAAUCUGGCAGAGGGGGGUGGAAUUCCACGUGUAGCAGUGAAAUGCGUAGAGAUCCGGAGGAACCCCAGAGGCGAAGGCGGCGCCCUAGCUCGGUUCUGACGCUGAGACGCGAAAGCAUGGGGAGCGAACGGG
rnacentral:rRNA from 1 species